rnacentral:rRNA from 1 species
GUAGGGUGCGAGCGUUGUCCGGAAUUAUUGGGCGUAAAGGGCUCGUAGGCGGUUUGUCGCGUCGGGAGUGAAAACUCAGGGCUUAACCCUGAGCCUGCUUCCGAUACGGGCAGACUAGAGGUAUGCAGGGGAGAACGGAAUUCCUGGUGUAGCGGUGAAAUGCGCAGAUAUCAGGAGGAACACCGGUGGCGAAGGCGGUUCUCUGGGCAUUACCUGACGCUGAGGAGCGAAAGUGUGGGGAGCGAACAGGAUUAGAUACCCUGGUAGUCCACACCGUAAACGUUGGGCGCUAGGUGUGGGACUCAUUCCACGAGUUCCGUGCCGCAGCUAACGCAUUAAGCGCCCCGCCUGGGGAGUACGGCCGCAAGGCUA